UAGCCGUUAUGCUUCUGCCCGUGCUUGGGUCGACCCAAACUUUUCUUGGGUCGACCCAAACCUUGGGUCAGCUCAAACUUUUUCUUGGGUCGACCCAACCUUCAGAAACACAGAAACUUGGAAUUCAGCUUUCCUUCACUUGGGUCGACCCAACCUUUCCUUGGGUCGACUCAAGGUUCAGUUGGGUUGACUCAACUUCUUCUUGGGUCGACCCUAACAGGGUUUCCAGAGAACCUUUUCUGUCUUCUGUUCUGUCUUGCCUUUGGGUCGACCCACACAGGGUUUGGGUCGACUCAAGCUUGGGUCGACUCAACUUCAUCUUGGGUCGACCCUCUCAGUAAAUCCAGAAAACCAUUUUCUGAGUUGUUUUGAGGAUCUUGAUGUUUGGGUCGACUCAUGCUUUCCUUGGGUCGACCCAACACACUGUUCAUCUGUG
rnacentral:lncRNA from 1 species